GAACGGCCGGUGCGGUCUAGUCCUUGGACAGGGCGUCAGAGAGGGUGAGAAUCCCGUACGGGACCGGCGGCCAACCCCAUGUGAAACCCCUUCGACGAGUCGAGUUGUUUGGGAAUGCAGCUCAAAUUGGGUGGUAAAUUUCAUCUAAAGCUAAAUACCGGCCAGAGACCGAUAGCGCACAAGUAGAGUGAUCGAAAGAUGAAAAGCACUUUGGAAAGAGAGUCAAAAAGUACGUGAAAUUGUUGAAAGGGAAGCGCUUGCAACCAGACCUGUCCACCGGCGAUCAGCCUCCGUUCUCGGGGGUGCACUCGUCGGCGAUCAGGCCAGCAUCGGUCUGGGCGGUCGGAUAAAGGCCUUGGGAAUGUAGCUCCCUCCGGGGAGUCUUAGAGCCCUCGGUGUAAUGCGGCCAGCUCGGACCGAGGAUCGCGCUUCGGCUAGGAUGCUGGCGUAAUGGUUGUAAGCGACCCGUCUUGAAACACGGACCAAGGAGUCUAACAUCUAUGCAAGUGUUUGGGUGUCAAACCCAUACGCGUAAUGAAAGUGAACGGAGGUGAGAACCCUUUAGGGUGCAUUAUCGACCGAUCCAGAUGUCUUCGGAUGGAUUUGAGUACGAGCAUAGCUGUUGGGACCCGAAAGAUGGUGAACUAUGCCUGAAUAGGGUGAAGCCAGAGGAAACUCUGGUGGAGGCUCGCAGCGGUUCUGACGUGCAAAUCGAUCGUCAAAUUUGGGUAUAGGUAAGCUUCCGUCGAGAGCGUUCUUUGAAGGGGAACCAUGCUAAUUUGUCAUUUUUAUCAGGGGCGCAAGACCAAUCGAACUAUCUAGUAGCUGGUUCCUGCCGAAGUUUCCCUCAGAUAGCAGUAACGUUUUCAGUUUUAUGAGUAAAGCGAAUGAUUAGAGGCCUUGGGGUUGAAACACCUUAACCUAUUCUCAACUUUAAUAUGUAAGAAGUCCUUGUUACUUAGUUGAACGUGGACAUUCGAAUGCACCGUUACUAGUGGGCCAUUUUUGUAGAAAA
rnacentral:rRNA from 1 species